ensembl:misc_RNA Y_RNA Y RNA
ACCUGGUCCGAAGGUAGUGAGUUAUCUCAGUUGAUUGUUGACAGUUAGUUACAGAUUGAACUCCUUGUUCUUGUCUUACCCGCCCUUCUUACUACGGCACUUGACUAGUCUA